CAGCUUAUUAUAGUUUUAGCACAGCUAGCUUAUACUGCUUUUGCUGGUGUAAAAACCUACAGGAACGGUCUGGCUGGUGGUGGUUGGAAUUCUGCCAGCCACGUGGAAAAGUCAAGCACCUCAGUGGUGUUCUUUCUGACUGUUGAAGACUAAGCAGGUACUAGCACUAGAAUAUUUCACUGAAUCAAGACUGGAGUAUGCAAAGUAAUGUCUUCUUCCUUAUUACAGCUGUACUCUUGCAGCUGGCAGAGCCUUAGAUUAAUCAGAUGCCAAGAAGUUAUAUGCUACUCUGAAAAAUGGAGUGCAGUGCAUAGCCCUUGGAGACUUCUAGCAUCCUGAAAGCAUCAGAAAGUUGUGAUUUGCACUAGGCUAUUUAUACUUCUGUGAGUUUGUUGAUGUGCGGAACUCCUGCUGAUCUCUUAUCUUGUUCUAGAUACUAGGUUUACAUCUGAAAAGAUACGGAUACCCGCAACCUGGCUUUUAUUCAAGCUUGCAUGAUUUGUGACACUUAAAAGCUGAAGCUAUACCAGCAAAAAAAAUUCCAAGAGCACUAACCCUUGAGAUAAUUAAAUAAAUUUUCUGUUGACUGGAGACCGGCUAAGGCAAGGCAGCGUAACUGUCAUCAUACUACAGCUAUGACUGAUUUGAAUAAUCUCUUAAGCUUUGAAGAGUUAUUUGGGCGGCCGUAUGAGCAUUCAACAGGGGAAGAAGAUUAAUACGAGAUACCAGCGCUCUUAGCAAGCUAAGAAUUCUAACUAGCUCCUGCGCCUUCUUAGAGCAUGCACUUUUGUCUGCAGUUGACAGAGAAGUUCAUAAUAUCCAUCAGUCUCUCUUCAAGAUGACUGCACAAGGGAUGAUUGUAGAAGGAAGCUAUACCUGCAGUUUUACCACAGAUGCAGAAAGAAUGAGACGCCUUCCGACUAUCGCUCCUUGCUGACGGCAACAGUAAAACACCUGCUAAAGGAUUUGGACUUCUCGGAUACUCUUAACAUCAACCUGCAAAAUGGCCACUGCCUGGAGGGACACCUGGCCUUUUGCCAAUGCCAGCUAUUCAUGUUAAACCAGUACAGCACCAAUGAAGAGCUUAACUAAGACACUGCUGACACCAUUGGCAAUAGUGGAAGUCCUGUAACCACACAUGCCUUGCCCCUUCUGUUGCGCUCCAGCCUGUGAGAACUUCUGAAAAUUUUAAGAAGGCUUUUCUAUUAAAACAAAUGUUCAUGAAUGUCAGGGUUGUACGUUUGUAAUACUAAAUUAGAAGCUGCUAAACAGUCACAAAAUAAAGUUACCUGUUUUA